UUUUUCCCUUCCCCUUCCCCCAUCGUUUUGUAAGGGGCUGUGGAAGGAGAAAGAGAGCAGGGAGCGGCGCACAAGAUGGCGGCGGCGGGGAGCGCCCUGCGGCAGCGGGCGGCGCGGGGCUGGCGGGGCUCCAGGCAGGGGGGGGGUGGGGGGAGGACAAAGGCAGCGCGCAUCCUGCGGGCUGGGCACCUAUAAAUAACGCAGCCCGCCCCUCAGCCUUCCUCCCUUCCCCCAGCCGGUUUUAUAAAUACCAAAGGCUGAAAACAGUCUAAAUGCAAAGGGGGGAGGAAAAAAAGAGGAACAAACACCACCACCCCAACUGUAAAAUGGGGGGCGUGGGGGGGAAGAAGGCAAGCUAAUGAGCAGUUGGAGCCAACGUGCCGGGGGAGCGCUCCCCGCUGCCGUCACAUGGCUCUGCGUUGUUUUCCUCCUUCUCCCCCCACCGCCGGUGCGGCAGAGCGGCGGCUGCCUCCGCCCGCCCGUGGCCUCGGAUGGCGGGGAGGAGCCCCGCGGCCUCCCCGGCCCUCAGCCCCGGGUCCUGCUGAGCUGCUCCCUCAAAUCAGAUAGCAAAGCCCGGCUUCGGCGGGCGGAAGGCACACAAAGCCCACCUAGAGGGGUGCCUGGGCCAGGCCAUGCAGCCCAGCGGUGGGAGGGAUGAGGAAAGCAGCCAUUGCAAGUCCUGAGCUGAAGUUGGUUUCCACACCAUCCACAACACCACUGCUGCUGUUCUUCCCCUCUUCUCCAGGAGCAGCUGAUGCAGAGCAGUACUUGCUCCAUCCCUGGCACACUGGCUUGUCUUUCCCCUGCAGAUCAGUCAGCUGUUUGGGAAGAUGCUGCUCUCAGCAUCUAAAGAGUGGUUCCUGUGGCAUGAAAUUAUCACAAACUCCUUCUGUAUUGCAUAGAGGUGUAAAAAGCUGUCACAAACAUCUUCAGGGUUAUUGUGACCAAAAGAGACUGCAGUCCCACCACCGUUCAGAUGCCCACAUGAAAAAAUACCUGAUGGUCUCAGCACCUAACGUGCAAUUGGCUGCCAGGUGCCAGAAGAGUUGGGAGGGUGGAAAGGACUUCUGCGUUCCUCUUUCUGGAUCCUCCAGGCAGACUCACGGGGCACAUUUCUAUAGGAGUGUAGGGGAGAGGAACCAAAGCCUGUACAGCUGUUGCCUUACCUGUCCAGGCCCAGUGAGCCUGGAGGCUUGGGACUGAGCAUGCUUUUCCCCAAGUCCAAAAUCGAGCCCUGAAAGGAAACUGAGGUCACCACACAGUCCUACAGUGGGAAGGGUUUGCUACAGGCUAUUUGUGUGCAUGUCUAUGACAAACCAAUAAAAAACUUGACAGACACACCUCUGGAUAUGUUUCAUACUUGGAAGAUUUCGUCUUAGAUCUCUGACUUAGAGUGAUGCUGUUUUUGCAUCCAUUUGUCUGGAGUCUUUGAACAGACACAGCCUAUACUGCCAUGAUACUGAAGAUCAUUAAAGGUCUGGGGGCACUGACACUUUCCAAGUAGCUUCAGCUGCGUGUCACAAAGGGGCAUUUUGAGUAUGAUGUGCGCCCUAAGUUUAAUUAGAAUCUGCCUGCCUUAAGAAACCAGAGCUGCUAUGUUAAUCCCAGUAAGCAACUGGGAGCUUCACAGUGUGCCUGCUGUGACAAUACAAGACAGGAAGGAUGAAGCAUGUGUAGGAAGAGAGAAAUGCACAGGAAAUGGUAUCAGGGGCAGCAGGAUAGGAUGACAUAAUUAGAACUGAGUUCAUUUCUCAGCCCUGAGUUACUCACUAGCCUGCUCUGAGCUUUGCUGGUUCUUUGUGAGGUCUGCUCUCAGCUUAGCUCAGGCUGCUCUGUACUUUGCCCAGGGAUGCUCACACAUGCCACAAACUUCUCUGGUUCUCCACACAUGAGCUUCCAUCCAGAUACAAGCAAAGCUGCUCAGCUCUCCCUGUGUGUGUAGCACUCAGUGGGCAGAAGUUAUGGUGUCUCCCAGUGGAAGAUGAGCAAAGCAUUCCAUCUCCUCUUCAGUUGGUGGUUGCUGUCCUCCCUAGGAAGUUUGUACUAGCCAUGGCUGUACCAGCCAUGUGUGAGAAUACACACUGGGCACAUGGAUGUUGGUGCCAUACACAGCAAACACCUGCCUUUAUUUCAUUCACAGCCUUCUCUCUCACAGCUCACACACUAUCAUUGUUUUCUCCCCCUCUUUACUCCGUUUCCUCCCAUUUCUGUCCAAAAGCUAGGAGAGCUUCCUGCCAAGGCCACGUGCCCAGGAGAGUGAUGGUUAAUGGAUCGCUAAUAAAGUGUUGAUUAACAGCUCUAAAAACUUGCAUUGUUCAGGUUUCAUCCUACCUCACACAGUGGAAGGCAUGUUUAGCAAACCAAACCCAGCAUCAUCUAAACAUGUGGUUCUCAAAAUCCUCUCCAAAAAGCGUAACUGAACCUAUUUCAGGUUUGAUGGAAUCUACUAACUGCCUUUUGGCAAGCAUAACCCAGCAAGGAAAGCCAUUUACAGUCCCUUUCCAUCCUGACGGACUACUCUCUGCUGCAGACAUGGACACAGAAAAGCAUCUGAAGCGGAUGAAUUUUAUGCAGUUCUGUAGCAGAGCCCUCAGUGCUCACAUGGCCACGAGGAAGCCUGCACAUCACUCCUGAACCUGCUUCUUUUGACAGUUCCCAUGGUGAAACCAACCACACACAACCACAGAUCUCGCCUAAGACAAAGCAUGUUGGAUCCUUCUAGAUUUGCUUUCUAGCAUAGAGGUAGAGGAUGAGAUCCAGCAUCACCUAGCUCUGCCAGCAAGUGUUGACAAAUUCCUCACCAUCCGUCCAUGAAGCCAUGCAGCACAUCUGGGAGACACAGAUCUGUGGGGCCAGAGGUAGGCUGGUGUUGGCAGAUACUUGCUCAUUUCAUGCUUUUCAGAAAUUAGUCAUUGCGCUUUGAUGUUCCAGAAACACAUAGGAUGAUCUUAACUUUGCUUUACCCGUUUUUGUUUUCAACUGAAUUUGGCAUGAGAAUUCACGCUUCAGAGAAGUCCAGAUGACUUAAGCCUGCUCCUAAGCACCUCCUGUGCCAGGCUGACACAUUGCUAUGUUGAUUUAUAUACUUUUCAAAUUCUUAAGAUUAUUUUUCCACUGAUGAAAAGCCAGGAACUCAAGUUUUAAUGAAAGGUAAGAUUCAAAAUACAGCACACUAGCCAUGCAUGUGUCAAGUAAGCCAAAUUUGGCCCGCAUGGCUGGCAUCCCUGAUUUAAAGCAUACCAGAGAAAUACCCAUGAAACAGUAUGCACUCCCUAUAAAUAGCUGCUCUCUAGGUAGCAGUCAAGCUGUGGUUUAUGGACAAAAAUCAGUCCAACUGUAUCACAGUACCUGAAUAUUCUCUGCUUCUGAUGAGUUGUGUGUGUAACUUGGCCAAUACCUCCCAUUGCAGAUAGUUGUCCUGUUUUCUUUCAUAGCCCUCUGAACUCUCUGGUAGCAUUUGGACAGGUUUUAUGUGGAGUUUAUUGAAAGAUUUUUGCAGUGAUUUACUGCAUGGGCUACUUAAGCCAAGUAAAACAGGAAUUCUAGUCCUCAGGCAUGAAAAGGCAGAAAGGAAAUUUUCUUAUUGAAAUAUAAUUUUUCCACAUUACUUAAUAGUCUAGAAAGUUAAUGCCAUUUUACUGGAAAAAAAAAUAUACAGUUCCCACUGAGCCGAACAAGAAUACAAUAAUGUUUUAGGUUGGGUUAAACCCCUUAGCAAUUGGCAGGUGUCACAGCCUCCUUGCCUUCAGUGAAAAAGGCAAUUGAGAUCCCUCCUGAAACAAGGGAUUUGCAUCAGUAGCAGCUACUACACAAAAACCAGGCACAUGGCAAGGUCUGAAUAGAUGGUGAAUCAUGUGGCCCAGGGGAUUUUUCUGGAUUUUGGGGGCGGGAGUGUGUGUGUAAAAUAUCAGGCCACAAGGACCAGAUGGUAGAGCUCUGCAUGUGCAUGAGAAACAGCAAGUAGCACUACAGAAAUGGAUACUGAGAAGCAGCUGAAAGUCCAGGAGGGUGGGAGCUUUGAUUUGGAGAUUUCCUGUGUUGAGUGAGGGCCGAAAGAAGCUCAGGACUGUGAGCAAAAACACAACUGAAAAAGCAAUUUCAUACAGCUUUUCUGUAAAUAAAUGGAAUUGCCUUGAGCAUGUACUUUACUUUGUCACAGCAUUUUCCUCUUACACUGAUAUUCACCAAUAACUUCUUUGUGUGGGCAGGGCACACAGUUGACUUCUCCUACAUUAUAGUUCGUCAUUCCCUAUCUGCCCUGUCAGCUCACACAGUAAAUUCUAUGGGACUGAGAUUAUUCUUUACAUUUUGUGCAUUACAAACAACUGUGGCAUUUAUAUAACAUUGGACAUUUACUGGAAAUUCACUCUACUUGCAUGUUAAGUCCCAUUCUGUAGGGUCUGUCUUUCCUUUUGAGACUGUAAACACUUCGGGGCUUUAUGUCUUGCUCUAUAUGUACAUGCUAUAGCUCAGUGGGAAUUCGUCAUUGAUAACACAAAGUAUCACUGUUCAUCUUUGAAGACAAGCAUUUAAGGCUUUACCUCAUUAUGAACAUUCUUAACUAAGUUUAUGAGUAUUUCUUUGACAUAAAUUGAGCACUUAUUGUAAAUUUUAAGUCUCUGUAAAGCUUGGGUCUGUAUUAUCAAGAAGAAAAUUCUUAAGUGUAUUUCAAGAGUUUCAUUUUUAAAGACACUCUAGAAAAAGUGGGUAACCAUUCUUGUCUCAUUUAUAGUACCAUAUAAGCUAAUAGCGUGAGCAUACAGCAGAUGGCGUUUGCUGCUGCUGCUCUCUGCAGUUGUAGCUACAAGGAAGUACCAUCAGUCUGACACUUUGCUGGCUAGCUAAAAUAGUCAUAUUUUCCAUUAAAAAUAUUACUGCAAGGCACACAUAUCAGCCUAAGAGCACGCACUGUGACACAGCUUAAGUGAUUGGAAACUCAUAACUUUAACAGCAUUAAGAGUUCCUUUAAUUGAAAAAAUGUAAUUAUCCAGAAUAUUUUGUCAAACCCAUUAACAUAUUUACUAUUAAUAACAGUUUUUGUUACCAUUUUGCACAAUUUAGCAUUACGCUUCUCUUCCCCUACUUAAUUCUCUGUAGUUGCAAAACUCGAAGACCUUUAGUAGUAUUAUAUCUGUUAUCUUUUUUAAGCACAUUGUGAAGGACAGAGAGCCAUAACGUGAGCACAUUGGUAUUGCUCCCUUAGGAGGUCAGGCUAAUGGCACACCUGAUGUUCCUACGUGAAAACAACCAAACUGCCCAGGAGAUUGGAACACUUUUCGUUGAGUGGUAUUUUGAGGAAUUUCAUCACACUGUAUCUAAAUGGUUAUAGCUUCAAUAUUAAACCAAACGGAGAGUCUUUUUCCUGAAAACUAACCCAAAUCACCCAUAAAGGCCAUCUAAACUCUUAAAGCAUCUUUCAAAAACCAUAUGCUUCCAGCAGUUUUCCUAGGCAGUGUGCUUACCUUUCUCCCCUUCCUAUUAUUUUUCUCAGCAACUGUGAAGCACCAAAUAAGUGACAGUAAUGGAACACAGAUAUUUACCAUACCCCAUUGCAACUCUGAUUUUGGUGCGCUCACUGUACACACUCCUAAGACUGCAGAUGUGUAAGCUUUUGAUGACACAGAACUUGUGCCAAAAUUGAUGUAUAGGCCAAAACCGGAGAAGUACACUUGCAAUUAAUAGUGAUUAGAUUUGAAUUUCACUAAUAGAGGGUUGCAUUUUUGUCCAUUUAAAUCAGUGGCAGAAUUCCAUAUUAGAUUUUACUUUUCAGUCAGCAAAAUACACCGCUUUUGCAUGGCACUUUUUAUGUCUGAAGAACUGCAAACCCAUUAAUUAAAAAUAAGCAUCAGAGACACUGAAAUGCUGUGUAAUUACAGGAAAACUAGCAAGUCUAUUUGUUGAUCACACCAUAGUAUGCCAUUCGUUUCGAGCCAAGUUCAAAAGAAUUGUUUCAGUGUAAAACAAAUCACUUUUGGACCAUUUAUUGUUAUGCAAUACUUGAAUGCCCUCAGCCCCUGCAACCUUGUGGAGCUGACAGCUUUUGCUAUCUUGCAGAUCAGAUAUUAAAGAUGAUGGUUCAUACAGGAUCUUUUUGUGUAUCCUACAUGCUCAUGUCAAGUAUUUCCUCAGUAAAAUGGUUAGCUUUAAACAGAUGUGAGAUUGGCUACCUUUUUUUUUUUCCUUCUUUAUUUGAAGUAUAUGACAUUUUGCAUGCCUGUCCUCCCUCUAUCACUGAAACACUUUUUUUCUUUCUGCUUGCCCUGCACACAAAGCAGGGCCUUCCUUGAAAGAAGUUAUUCCCAGACAUGAGGAGCACAGUUGCGCUGUGUUCAGUCUGGAAGGCCAUCUAGUGACACAACUGUGCAGAACUGCAGAAGGGCUUGGCUUGGAAGGGACCUCAGAGAUCACCUAGUUCCAACUCUGAUUGACAAGAGGAAGAGAACGGGCCUGAAGGGGGAUAGAGCAGACCUGAGGUGCCUGUGGCUGCAUGAACUCUUCGCAGGGUGUUAUGCUCUGAACAGAAGCACUCAGGGCAACAGUUAUUGGCCUUAAGCUGCACCAGGAGAGGUUCAGGUUCAGUAUUAGGAAAUAUUUCUUCUCAGAAAGAGCACUGGCAUAGGCUGCCCAGGGAGGUGGUGGGGUCACUGUCCCUGGAGGUGUUCAAGAACCAUGAAGAUGUGGUACUGAGGGAUGUGGUCAGCAGGCACAGGGUGAUGGGUUGAGGUUGGACAGGAUGACCUCAGAGGUCUUUUCCAGCCUGACCGCUCUUUCUGAGAAGUUGUUCCUAAUAUCCACCCUGAAUCUCCCCUGGAACAACUUAAGGUCAUUACCUCUUGUCCUAUCAAGUAGGUGUCUGCAGGCUUUGACAUCUCUGUAACUAAAACAUAUCAUUCUGUUUGACUUCUAUGACAGCUCACCCUGAACACAAGGCACUGGGUACAGCAGGAGACACACAGUUUGCCACCGCGCCUCCCUGUGCCCCAUGCAGACGCGCUGUGGUACCUCAGGGCUCUCCUGUCCUUCAGCACAGCGCUUGGCCCGCACGUCCCUCAUCCAUCAGCGCCUGGAUCCACCGCGAUGGAAAUUUCCCCUUAGCGCAAAGUAAAGGGGCACGGCGUGUGAGAU
rnacentral:lncRNA from 1 species